UUGCUAUAUAUUUUUGAUAUUAUUUAAAAAAAAACGUUGCGUUCCAGUUUAGUGAAAUGGUUCGCCAUACAUUAGUUAUUAUAUUAUUUGCAAUAACGUUUAUUUUUGAAUUUCUUGGCCUAGCUCUAACCUAUUGGUAUCGUAAAUCUUUCUGUGUACAAGGUCGUGAGAUAGAAUGGAUUGUAAUGCCUUUUAUGCUGCUUGUCCCAAGCUGUGUAAUAAUGAACUUGAGUUUACUUAUAAUAGUUAUAUUAUUUGAAGAUAUGGGACUGGACCCGGUGGUAAAUAAAUAAUCUAUUGUACAUAAUUUAAUAAUGGGUACCAUAGAAGGCAUCACAGGAAUUAUAAUGCUCAUAGCUAUAGUCUUCAACUGCGGAAACUCUGCAAUUAUCGUCUAUGUAAUAUCAGGAAUUUUUGUUAUAAUAGCUGCGAUACUACAUUUAAUAUUAUCAUCACGUGGAAUUAAAGAUUUUCUAUCAUAUAUAUAAUAUAUA